UUGUUUACUUCUCCUGUAUGUUUGAGCUGUCAACUAAAUGAGCACAGGAGAAUUUCAUGUCAUUUUAGAUUUGAAAGGUAUACACUGAAUAAGAUGUGAUUGACACGCAGAGAACUAGAGUUAAAGUAGCCGAAUUGUACUUAUUCACAAACUGGGUACGUUGUACAACUGCGGAUAAAAACUUGCCGUUAUGCCUUACUUCUUUUUUGAAUGCAUUAGUGUUUAACAGUAUCACUGAUUAGUUAUCAUUGAUUAUCAUUGAUUGGGUAUUGGGUCCACUUGUUAUGAUUAUGUAAAUGCCAGCUCCUCGCCAGUCAGUGAUCAAAAAAUUCCAAGGUUUGUUCGCAUACACUCUUGUAUUAUUACUAUGUAAUAGUGUUUAGUGCAUGCAUUUUCUGUUUGUUAAAUGCUCCGAAGAUGGGAGAACUCCCAAAACGCAUAAGCAUGUAUAAAUAAAUUGUUUAUUGUCAUUGUAAAUACAGUGCUUUGGCUAAAUGAGUUAGAAAUUAUUACCUUACUUUUUUCAACAUUGAAUCCUGAAUGUAUGCUUUCCCAAACCUGUAAACACACCAAUCAGAGUUGAAAUCAACGCGAUCAAAGCAGAGUUACAAACGGUUUCCAUGGUAGACGAAUUUCCAAAUAUGCUAGGUUGCAGCGGAAGUUAAAUGCUCUUAAAGAGCAGCUCUCAACUGGUAAGUUAUCUGUCUUAAUUUUGCUGUGAGAAUCCCAGAGUGAGUGAUAAGAGUGAAGAAAGCCUUACUCUCUGAGAUGAUGAUUAACACUGCUCCUCUUGUUUUUUCAGCUCCAAAUAAAAUAACUGUUGCCUGAAUCGCAUGAUGAUGGACCUGUUUCUUCAAGGCAUCUUCGUGUGCACAAAUAUUUUUUGCUUCUACAUGUAUCGUUCAGUUUCUGUCUUUAAACUUCCAGUAGAGUGGUUGGAGCCACAUCCGAUCCCACAUCUUGUCAGCUGGCCUUCAAACGAAGCAGGUGGGAUCAGCUUCCUCUUUUGGUUUACAGUUUCUAGCCAAGUUUUUCGGCUCCUAAAAACUCGGUGA
rnacentral:lncRNA from 1 species